rnacentral:rRNA from 1 species
GAUCAGGCUGUUGGUGAGGUAAUGGCCCACCAAACCUGUAACCGGUACGGGCUCUGAGAGGAGGAGCCCGGAGAUGGGCACUGAGACAAGGGCCCAGGCCCUAUGGGGCGCAGCAGGCGCGAAACCUCUGCAAUAGGCGAAAGCUUGACAGGGUUACUCUGAGUGAUUUCCGUUAGGGAGAUCUUUUGGCACCUCUAAAAAUGGUGCAGAAUAAGGGGUGGGCAAGUCUGGUGUCAGCCGCCGCGGUAAUACCAGCACCCCGAGUGGUCGGGACGUUUAUUGGGCCUAAAGCAUCCGUAGCCGGUUCUACAAGUCUUCCGUUAAAUCCACCUGCUUAACAGAUGGGCUGCGGAAGAUACUAUAGAGCUAGGAGGCGGGAGAGGCAAGCGGUACUCGAUGGGUAGGGGUAAAAUCCGUUGAUCCAUUGAAGACCACCAGUGGCGAAGGCGGCUUGCCAGAACGCGCUCGACGGUGAGGGAUGAAAGCUGGGGGAGCAAACCGGAUUAGAUACCCGGGUAGUCCCAGCUGUAAACGAUGCAGACUCGGUGAU